rnacentral:rRNA from 1 species
CAGUAGUCAUAUGCUCGUCUCAAAGAUUAAGCCAUGCAAGUCUUAGUACAAGCUCAAUUAAAGUGAAACCGCGAAAAGCUCAUUAAAUCAGUUAUGGUUCAUUAGAUCAUACCCACAAUUACUUGGAUAACUGUGGUAAUUCUAGAGCUAAUACAUGCUUACAGAGCUCCGACCUUUACGGGGAGGAGCGCUUUUAUUAGAUCAAAACCAAUCGGUGGCGAGUUCGCUCGUCAUCGUAAACUUUAUUGACUCUUAAUAACUUUAUGCUGAUCGCACGGUCUAGUACCGGCGACGCAUCUUUCAAAUGUCUGCCUUAUCAACUGUCGAUGGUAGGUUCUACGCCUACCAUGGUUGUAACGGGUAACGGGGAAUCAGGGUUCGAUUCCGGAGAGGGAGCCUGAGAAACGGCUACCACAUCCAAGGAAGGCAGCAGGCACGCAAAUUACCCAAUCCCAGCUCGGGGAGGUAGUGACGAAAAAUAACGAUACGGGACUCAUCCGAGGCCCCGUAAUCGGAAUGAAUUGAAUUUAGAUACCUUUUUAAGGAUCAAUUGGAGGGUAAGUCUGGUGCCAGCAGCCGCGGUAAUUCCAGCUCCAAUAGCGUAUAUUAAAGUUGUUGCGGUUAAAAAGCUCGUAGUCGCAACUGUGUGCCGCUCCGUUGGUUCACCGCUCGCGGUGUAACUGACGGGCAAGUGGGACGUCAUGUCGGUGGACUUAGCUCGCAAGGGCGGUUCAAAUGAAACCUGUAGCGGUGCUCUUAACUGAGUGUCGAUGUGGGCCGACACAUUUACUUUGAACAAAUUAGAGUGCUCAAAGCAGGCUAAAUUAAUGCCUAAAUACAAGUGCAUGGAAUAAUAGAAUAGGAUCUCGGUUCUAUUUUGUUGGUUCUCUGAACACUGAGAUAAUGAUGAAUAGGGACGGAUGGGGGCAUUCGUAUUGAGACGUUAGAGGUGAAAUUCUUGGAUCGUCUCAAGACGGACUGAAGCGAAAGCGUUUGCCAAAAACGUUUUCAUUGAUCAAGAACGAAAGUUAGAGGUUCGAAGGCGAUCAGAUACCGCCCUAGUUCUAACCAUAAACUAUGCCAGCCAGCGAUCCGCCCACGUUCCUCCGAUGACUGGGCGGGGAGCUUCCGGGAAACCAAAGCUUUUGGGUUCCGGGGGAAGUAUGGUUGCAAAGCUGAAACUUAAAGGAAUUGACGGAAGGGCACCACAAGAAGUGGAGCCUGCGGUUUAAUUUGACUCAACACGGGAAAACUCACCAGGCCCGGACACUAAUAUGAUUGACAGAUUAAUAGCUCUCUCUUGAUUAAGUGGUUGGUGGUGCAUGGCCGUUCUUAGUUGGUGGAUUGAUUUGUCAGCUUAAUUGCGUUAACGAACGAGACUCUGACCUAUUAAAUAGGCGCAUAAACGACAUUAUAGAGGUCCGGCCAUUUCCCUUCUCACGAAGGUGAUUUGGUGCGGGAUUUUAACUGUCGGCGUUAUAUUAAUUCUUCUUAGAGGGACAAGUGGCGCUUAGUCGCAUGAGAAUGAGCAAUAACAGGUCAGUAAUGCCCUUAGAUGUCCUGGGCCGCACGCGCGCUACACUGAAGGAUACAGCGUGUAUCCCUGGCCGAAAGGCUCGGGUAACCCGUUGAAACUCCUUCGUGUUAGGGAUUGUGGUUUGUAAUUAUGCCACAUGAACGAGGAAUUUCCAGUAAUCGCAAGUCAUUAGCUUGCGUUGAUUAAGUCCCUGCCCUUUGUACACACCGCCCGUCGCUACUACCGAUUGAAUGACUUAGUGAGGUCUUCGGACUGGUGCGCGAUGACGUUUCGUACGUUGUCGAUGUUGCUGGGAAGAUGACCAAACUUGAUCAUUUAGAGGAAGUAAAAGUCGUAACAAGG